rnacentral:lncRNA from 1 species
CUGUUGGCUUCCUCGACACCAUGGCCUCAUGAUGCUGCUUCGACCAUAGGUCAGGUUCAUUUUCCUAAGCUGGUAGUUGUAACAGCCGUUCGUGGGCAGUGUGGGAAGCCUAAGGCUGGUGCGUGGCCUCCCUCUUCAAUCGAUUACUUAAGCUUGGCUACUGCCUUCUCCAAAUCUUAGGGUGUUGUGUGUGCGUGCUGACAUGGUGGCGGCAGUGGCUAUCGAGGGCUAGGGUGUGUAUACGAGUGAGAUGUGUGUGCGUGCAGUAGAUGCCGAGUUGUGUUUGCGGGUUUCCUCUCUGGAUCUUUAACAUUGAAUUUUCUAUGUAUCUUUACACUGCAGGGUACCCAGUAAAGACAGAAGGCACAUGUUCGUCAACCGGCUGCACUGUGCUAUGUGGGCUUCUAUCAAGAUCAAAUUUUGUUUAAUUUUCUACCAAGAUCUAAUUCAGUUUAGAUUUUUCUGACAGUUUUAUGUAUCUCUCUUCUCUAAAUCAAUAUAAUUAAGUGGUCUAUAUGCAUUCAGUUUAGUUUUCUAUCAAAAUAUAAUUCAGUAUGAAUCAAUGUAAUCAAGUGGUGAAUAAUUUCAUCAAAUAGGAGACAUGAUUUCUGUUACUGUAUUAAUAUGGUGACAUGUUCUGUUUAGAGUUUUCUCCGUACACUUCUGUCCAUAUUGUCAACUGCAGCUUGGUGAAUAUAUAUAACCAGAAUUAAGUUUAAUCUGAAUCUAAGAAGAAAAAUACAUUGGUACAGUGUGGCAGUACUGCAGUUAUAUUACAGAGGUUUAAACCUGUUCGUUUGUGUACUAAGCAAAUGUAGUACUACUACCAUUGGUUGUGCGCCUACUAGUACUAGAACCAAUGCCAUGUUAGUUCACUCUCCCUCAACCUGGAGGUACACACCAAGCUAGAACUUGCCAACACAGUGACACACAUUUCUUUUUCAACUCAUGUGCUCCCUGCCUCCAAGCCAGGUUGCCCUCCACGAUAGUUUUGCCGAGAAGUAGGGGUUGAUGUCUACUGUCUGAUCCUAAAUCUUUUCCCUGAUGUUUUCCCUUUUUUACAAUCAAUUAACACUGUAAUCUCCCUAACUAUGAUCUCUGCUUUUUUGGGAUGUAGGUCUAGGUGGUGUUGUAGCAGUCGUACUGCUGCAUGGCGCACAAUAGAGCUCGAGAGGGUGGACAUGAUAACUAUUGGUGGAGCUGCUCCGUGAUCAACUAGGGGUUGGUUCUCUACUGCCACUCCUAUGAUUUGUCCAGUAUUUCCAUUCCCUACCUUAAUUGCUACUGAACUACACCUAUUUAGUUAAUGUAGUUCUGAGUUAGGCAUUUUUCACCAUGGUGUGAUUUUCUACUAAUUUACUAAUUUGUUUGUGCCCCUUGGAUCUUGUGAUGAACUUCUCAUGCACUUGAAUUAAAAGUAACCACAACAUGCAUGUUGUUAAGAGCAAUAACUGAUACAUCCUAUCUAGUAUCUCUUCAGAGAACCAUUUGCCACUUAGUUUUAUAGAUUUAUUAGUGGCCACGGCUCAUAGUUAUUUUGCAUGCCAUUUGAUGUUUACUUGUCAAGCAAUUGUGUUUUACUACUAUAGGUGCCUUAGAUAAACAUUUAGUUUCAUGUGUAUGCUUGUUGACACAUGAAAAAUUUGAAGCUUACGCUCGCGAGGUCGAUGAGUAACCGAUGAGUAGCGGCUCCGCUUCAUUGAUAUUAUUUGUUAGUGAUGCCAUUUUCUCGACGGGUUUAUAUGGCCUUAACUGUUGUUGAGUACUUGUGUUCUCCGAUGUAUGUUCUAUUACAUUGUCACUUAUAUGUCAACUUGAUUAGACUUUCAUUUGACCCACUUUUAUUUGAUUUAAUUUUAGGCAACCUCAUGUUUAGUUUUGUUUUAAAGUAUAUUUUGUUAUUCUGAUAUGCAGGCUUGUUAAAAUUUAAGAAUUUUGGACAACACAUAAUUUAUUUUUGAAGUUUGUUCUUAUUCUUUUAUUUCUACUAUCUACUAUCUAAUGUUGUAAAUAUGUUAGGUAUGAUUGGGUAGCAGGCUUCUUGGUGCUGGCCAACACAAUCUGCCAUGACAUGAUACUUACCAUCAGGAGGGGCGACGACAAGAACCUGAAUAGCAGCCUCAAUAGUAUCAUAUUUUCUGUUGUUGUAAUUGGAUUGUACUGGUUCCUAGCGUUGUUGUGUGAUAUAUUUUGUCAAUAUAUUCUGUAAAUUACCAUUUCAUGGAGGAUUUUGUAAACUGAUGUGGUGUAGAUACCAAUAGAUGGUUGCAUAUUGAAUAUCCGUGUAAUGUAUGAUCACACUUUGGAAAUGCUUCGUCUUGGCCUAGAGUUGGUAUUAUGAUUU